UCGGCGGAGCGGCGGACGGCUGAGUAACGCGUGGGAAUCUGCCCCAAAGUGAGGGAUAACUGCCCGAAAGGGUAAGCUAAUACCGCACAUGGUCUUCGGAUUAAAGCAUUUAUGCGCUUUGGGAGGAGCCCGCGUCGGAUUAGGUAGUUGGUAGGGUAAUGGCCUACCAAGCCGACGAUCCGUAGCUGGUCUGAGAGGAUGAUCAGCCAGACUGGGACUGAGACACGGCCCAG
rnacentral:rRNA from 1 species